rnacentral:lncRNA from 1 species
CUCCUUUGUUCACACCAAAGAAGAUAGAAGCUCAUCAAAACCUCACACCCCAAAGAAGGUUUUUGGCCCCUCUUUCCUCUCAUGUCUCACAAUGAAAAAUUCUCUCUUGUUGGCAUACAAAAUUAUGGCUUUUUUAUGAUUGUCGUACAAACCAGAUUAGAUAGGAUAAGAGAGUUUGUUGCAAUUCAAACCAUUUUGAAUUUUAAUUUGAC